rnacentral:lncRNA from 1 species
AACUGAAUUCACCAAAAAUAGAGUUGGGAUGAAAAUAUAUAUAUAUAUAUAUAUAUAUAUAUAUAUAUAGAGCUAGUCUUCUAUACUAUCUAUAGUACCGGUGCUCCGGUACUAUAGUCUCGUUUUCGAUUUUAGGUGUUCAAAUCAACGAUCCACAUUGUUAAAACUGAUUUAGAGUAUUUAAAGUUUUUAGAAAUAAAAUUUUAUAUUUUUUUGACAUACUUUACUUUAUGAUCAAAUCAUUUCAAAAUUGUCAAUUUUUAAUGGCUACUAUGGCGAGUUUGGAGUUUAAUGGUAUAGAAGAAUCUAAAUUUCUUCAAAUUUUGAUAGAAAAUUUUUUAAACUAUCUAGAUUAAGGUUAGCAUUAUUGAUCUUGAAUUUAAAAGUCCUAUGAUCAAAUUUUAAAGAUUAUUCAAUUUCCACCGUCCAUUUUGACAUAAUUUAUUUACUA